GCCGGGGUGGCGGAACUGGUAGACGCAGCAGACUUAAAAUCUGCUGCGGUUUUUCCUCGUGCCGGUUCGAGUCCGGCCCUCGGCACCA
rnacentral:tRNA from 1 species